GGCAGGCAUGGAUAAUGUUUGUCUAUCAGAAGAUCCCUGCAAAGUUCGACGCUCAGCUGUUCAUUUGCUCUAAACAUUUUACCGAAGACAGCUUUCAAAAUCUUGGACAGUUUAAAGCAGGAUUUGCCAAACUUCUUUUACUGAAACGAGGGGCUGUUCCGACCGUAAGGUCAUCACAACCGCAAGCUAGCACAUCACAAGAACAACAAGAACAACCACGAACAAAAGUUGCAGCAUGCCAAACAGAUCCUCCUUGUGUGGCAUCUCGCGGGACGCAGCUUUCUUUUACUACAUUGAGACCUCACCAACGAAGCAAAGGCAUACAGGCAACGCCGCAAUGCCAAAGUGUGGCAGUAGGCACAACGGCUCCUUCAGUCUCUGGGCCAUUCUCUUCAACUCCUUUGAAGGGUCAGAGGCCAGCAAAGAGACCUCGCCUUGAAUUUGAGGAGGAGGUGGAAGAUGUUUCCUCUGCAUGCACUGAUCCUCAAGAUUCCACAUACGAUCCUGCACAGUCUGCUACAAUGGAGACAGAAUCAUCUCAGCUUUUUACAUCACCAGUGACUUCAUAUGGCGAUGCAAAAUACAUUGUUUUUGAGCAAUGCCUCUUCAGCCUGUUCGAGAUCUGCCCUGUGUGCACAAGAACCUGUACAUUCCUGCCACGCAGAAGAGGGUCCUUCCUAGCGAUCGACCAACUAUGCCCUCACUGCAAGUUCUUCCGACAGUGGAAGAGUUAGCCAGUUAUUGGGAGCACCCCUGUGGGCAACCUUCAGCUGUCUGCUGCCAUUUACUUUUGUGGAGCUUCAUUUUCAAAGAUGAAAAAGGUUGUACCUUGCAGCUAUGCAUUUCAAUGAGAAUGCUCAGCGCCCACAACGGAAGACAGCCAAGGGGAAACUAAUGUACAGGCUUGUGUUUCCAAAGGCCAAAAGGGGAGGUUACACGGUCAAAAAAGUGAAGACAGAGCCAACGAUUUGCUAUGUCUUUAACCUGAUAAGUUCGAAGAGAUCGUCCAUGACUCCCUUCGUUAUGUGGAUGCCGUCCAGCAGAUUCCUGUGCCCCAAGACUUGUGUGCUCAGCUUCCCAGACCUUCCAGGGAGGAUGCUGUCGCUGAGCAUGUGUCACGGUUCAGUCGAGGGGGGGUCUGAACCCGACAUACUGCCCUGAUGUUUCCGGAAACUCCCUCCGUAUGCGCAGCACCACACAAGAGGGGAUCACAACACGGACACUUCGCCCAAGGAAACCCCAGCACCAGCUCACGAAAGAUCUGUAGGCCAAGUGUCUGCAUUGCCUUCAGAGAAAUCAGAGUGGAAAGGCACACUUUUUUACUAUUUAUUUUUUGAAUAUUUUAUAUUUUUGAGUAUAGCACUGUAUGAUUGUGUUGAAACAAAAUAAAGUUUGUCAUUUUAC